UUAGUGAUUAUCAUUUUGGUACUC
rnacentral:siRNA from 1 species